rnacentral:rRNA from 1 species
AUUGAACGCUGGCGGCAGGCCUAACACAUGCAAGUCGAACGAGUGGCGGACGGGUGAGUAAUGUCUGGGAAACUGCCCGAUGGAGGGGGAUCACUACUGGAAACGGUAGCUAAUACCGCAUACCAUCGGAUGUGCCCAGAGGGGCUUAGCUAGUAGGGGUGGUAACUGCUCACCUAGGCGACGAUCCCUAGCUGGUCUGAGAGGAUGACCAGCCACACGGGAACUUGGACACGGUCCAGACUCCUACGGGAGGCAGCAGGGGGGAAUAUUGCACAAUGGGCGCAAGCCUGAUGCAGCCAUGCCGCGUGUAUGAAGAAGGCCUUCGGGUUGUAAAGUACUUUCAGCGAGGAGGCGUUACUCGCAGAAGAAGCACCGGCUAACUCCGUGCCAGCAGCCGCGGUAAUUC